GGCGUACUUUCAGAGAACAUUUUG
rnacentral:miRNA from 1 species